UGCCUCUGCCAUCCUCAGCCCCGUGGAAUAAUUGCAACAGGAAACCCUAUGGCUCACAAACCUACAUAGUUACCAUCUCUGACAAAUGGAAAUGGCAAGCAACAGGAUAUAUUGGAGUAUAUUGUAAACCUAAUUCAGCCUGACUUUGUUUUCCAAAAGGGCCUGACAUGGCCGUUGAGCACACAUUGUAUAUCUGCUUUAAACAUUUGCUAUGUCAAGAACAAAGGCCCUUAAGAUAAAGGUGCAACUUCCCCCUACGUUGUCAUUUCCUUAAGGAUAAGCAUCUUUCCUUAGGCUAGGAAAUGAUUGCUGAACUCACCUUUGACCACCCAGCUCACCUGUGACCACCCAGCUCGAGACAGCAGACCUGCCAUCCUGCUGUGUCCACGGAGACAGCAAACCUACUACCUGCUGUGUCCAUCGAUGGCUGUGCCGACAGAGCAGUCUCAUGACUAUUGUAAAAGGGACAUUUCAAUCCUAUGUGAAACAUCCUCUUUGGGGCAUAUAACCACUCUGUGCACCCUGCUUCUUUAGCGUCCUUUCUUCCCUUGGGAAGAAAGGCCCUGGGCCAUGGUCCUCACAAUGUAGCUCAGAAUAAACUCUCCCAAAUUUUCAUUUAUAGAUUGGUUAUGGAUUAUUUUCGUCGACACUCGUCAUUUAUAGAAAAAGUCUGGCAACCUCUGAAUUAAAGGACAAAUACCUGAAACCAAGAUAUUCGUUCAUAACAGGCAUUGGAAUCCCCUGGUCUAAGCACAGCCCCGGUGUCUCCACUUUAUGCCUCCCCACACGGAAAACCCACUGCCGGGUCCCAAAAAAUGGUACAAGAAAGGUAAUGCAGAACCCGAGCUUCUUGGCAUUUACAGUUCCGUUUAGGAAACAAAAUGGAAAUAACUGUAAAGAAAAUUGUGAGCCGUUUCUGCAAUAAAUGUUUAAGAGUCGAACAAGCAGAUUUGAGAAGAAAGAACUCACGAUAUGACAAGGGAACGCUUCAGGCCGACAGUGGGAUGAGAGCAGAGUCCUUUAUGAGAGCGAAAUUUGAAAGCUCUUUUCACAGUCCCUGACACACAGCUGAUGCUCAAGAAAUACGAAUC
rnacentral:lncRNA from 1 species